GCCAAGUAAGACCUGAACAGUUACACCUGCCAGUGCUACAUUCCUUCGGGAGCAAGAUGUGAUGGUGAUGCGUCAAUGCCUUGUGUGAGACAGCACUGGAGAGCUGGCAUCUCUUCGUCCAGCAGCUCAGAUCUGAAGGCGAUGGAGGAAGGAAGGAAGUGGGUGCAGAGAGUGUGACAUGAAAUCCAUGCUUGAAGAUUCAUUGUGGCUACAAAAUCAGGAGCAGCAGUGAACUGCCGGAGCUUGCCAAGUUAUCCAGAGCCUUCCCAACUCUUUGUUCAGUGCUGCAGAAUUCAGAUCUUCUGAGGAUGAGAGACAGCAACAUGGAAGUGGGAUUACAAACCUGAUUUUUGGUAGCAGUGAAGUGAAUUUGACAGGAUUCAAUACCAUUGGGCAACAAGCAGCACGAGAAAGGAUCUUAGAGAUGUUGUGUAUGCCUCUGGAUAGCAAGAUGCUACUGGACUCCUCACGAGAUGGAACAUCCAGGCAACAGCCUGGAGGCAACUUCCUUGUGAGCAAAAGCCUGUACAAGGAGAGGCAUUAGCCUUUUUUGGUAACAAGAGCAAAUACUUCAGUGUAAGGCUCCAAGUUCAAAGGUCUGGAACUUAUCUUUUCCACACAAUUGCUUUCUCACAGGCUUUCCAUUCAAAUAUCAGACAAGGAGGCAGUACAAAUGGCACCUGCUGUGUGAAAUAGGAUGUGACCAAAGAGGAACCUUGUAUAGGGAUUACACCUAAGCAAUUUAUACACAACUCAGUACCAUAGUGAAAGUGUGAUCCAUCCUGGAGGCAUUGCUGUGGUGCAGCACUAAGAAUGUCGUGAUGUAAGGCAUCAAGAUGGCACACUUGUGAGCAGUGUUCUCCUACCAUACUCCAAAGGUGAACAUGCGUUUGUCAGUGUGCCUCACUGAGUGGUACUGACCCAUCAAAGAGCCUAAGUGGGAAUGAAAGAGGCUUUAGGCUUUUCAUUUGGGCAGAGCCCAAGAGGCUGCAAGGUACUCUCAAUUCCAGAGCUGUCCCAUAAAUGAUAGUAUAGGACACGGUUCUUUCCUGUCUCCUUAAAGCAUGAAUAAAACAUCACAGAGGGCCCGCAGAAAGGAAUGUGUCUCUGUGACAGCAGCAUCCUGAUGACACACUUGAAAAUGCUUGUUUUGCACAGGGCUUAAUCCAUCUAUGCGAUUUAGCACUACAAGCUAUUUUGGUGGCUUUAGGCUUUGCAGAUUUCAAAGCAGGAUAGUGCUCCUACAGACAUAAUAAGAACACCUUCAUCUGCAUUACGUCAGACAAGAAGAAAACACAGGAAGAAUGUUGAUGCAUGCAGAAAAGGUGAGGCCUCUGGAAGGUGAGCCAGCUCUGCCCUAUACUGAGAGCAAGGAGAGCCAACCCCUGGUGCAUGAGUGUAAUGGAUGUGUAAGGAAUGCCUGUCAGCUGUAAGCUGGCCAUCACUGUUUGGUGCUGGGUAAAACCUACAGUGUGCUAUCACACCAUUAGGGAAGGAUUUCUUCACCUUCCUCCAGCAUUUGACCCUAGCUGUUAUCCGGGAUACUCUGUGAUUAAGACAGAAAUUGCACGAAAUGCCACAGCAAAGGUAUGUGUGCAAGCAAAACAGAAAUUAAACCCAAACUUUUCCUGCACCCACUCCGAAAUAAACUGAAGAACAAGUAGAGAAGGCAAAACAUGCCGUGAUUUUUAUGUUGCUCAUCUCCCCGUCAUAAAGUCCCUCCAAAGGAACUGUUUUUCUCAAACCCACCCCGCGCUUUCCCCAUCCCUACCUCGUCCUUCCUCACCACACCUCCAGGCCGGCAGGGGGCGCCCCACAGCCCAGCCCCGCACCCCAAAUCAGCCGCAGCCGUUCUCCUGAGUACAGCGGCGCUGA